rnacentral:rRNA from 1 species
AACGAACGCUGGCGGCAUGCCUAACACAUGCAAGUCGAACGAGACCUUCGGGCCUAGUGGCGCACGGGUGCGUAACGCGUGGGAACCUGCCCUUAGGUUCGGAAUAACUCCCCGAAAGGGGUGCUAAUACCGGAUAAUGUCUUCGGACCAAAGAUCUAUCGCCUUUGGAUGGGCCCGCGUUGGAUUAGCUAGUUGGUAGGGUAAAAGCCUACCAAGGCGACGAUCCAUAGCUGGUCUGAGAGGAUGAUCAGCCACACUGGGACUGAGACACGGCCCAGACUCCUACGGGAGGGAGGAGUGGGGAAUAUUGGACAAUGGGCGAAAGCCUGAUCCAGCAAUGCCGCGGGAGUGAUGAAGGCCUUAGGGUUGUAAAGCUCUUUUACCCGGGAUGAUAAUGACGGUACCGGGAGAAUAAGCUCCGGCUAACUCCGUG